UACGUAGGGGGCUAGCGUUGUCCGGAUUUAUUGGGUUUAAAGGGUGCGUAGGCGGCCUAAUAAGUCAGUGGUGAAAGCCUCCAGCUUAACUGGAGAACUGCCAUUGAUACUGUUAGGCUUGAGUAUACUUGAGGUAGGCGGAAUUGACAGUGUAGCGGUGAAAUGCAUAGAUAUUGUCAAGAACACCAAUUGCGAAGGCAGCUUACUAAAUUAUAACUGACGCUGAGGCACGAAAGUGUGGGUAUCAAACAGG
rnacentral:rRNA from 1 species